rnacentral:rRNA from 1 species
GAUGAACGCUGGCGGCGUGCCUAAUACAUGCAAGUCGAGCGAACGGACGAGAAGCUUGCUUCUCUGACGUUAGCGGCGGACGGGAGAGUAACACGUGGAUAACCUACCUAUAAGACUGGGAUAACUACGGGAAACCGGAGCUAACACCGGAUAAUAUUCUGAACCGCAUGGGUCAAAAGUGAAAGACGGUCUUGCUGUCACGUAUAGAUGGAUCCGCGCUGCAUUAGCUAGUUGGUAAGGUAACGGCCUACCAAGGCGACGAUGCAUAGCCGACUUGAGAGAGUGAUCGGCCACACUGGAACUGAGACACGGUCCAGACUCCUACGGGAGGCAGCAGUAGGGAAUCUUCCGCAAUGGGCGAAAGCCUGACGGAGCAACGCCGCGUGAGUGAUGAAGGUCUUCGGAUCGUAAAACUCUGUUAUUAGGGAAGAACAUAUGUGUCAGUAACUGUGCACAUCUUGACGGUACCUAAUCAGGAAGCCACGGCUAACUACGUG